UUGGGUGUGGUUUACUUUAUAAUAGUCCAACAAUCGUGACUCUGCAUUUUAUUCAGCUCAUCUUCGGACUGCAAGUUCACAUCUCUGCAUCAACUACAGGCUUGAGGCUUAACAAACCAACCCAACAACCAUGGCUAAAAUCACUGUCGACAUUGAAUAUAGUGGCUCAGGAUGAGGCUACGGGUCCGCUGUCAAGGCUUUAGCUGACUCACUCAAGGCGAUCCCUGGCGUGGAGGUGGUGACACGCGAAGGGAGAGAUGGCAGCUUUGAGGUGACAGUGGAUGGUAAACCCAUCUACUCCAAGCUUGGCGGUCAAGGGUUUCCUAAAUCUACUGACGUGGAGGAAAUCGUAAAGAAGGUGAAGGCAAAGCUGAAGUAACAUGGAUGAAAACUUCAAUGAGCUCUUAACAUUGGAAGAUGGAGGUUAACAGCUGUAUUCACACUGCAAGAACAAUGGUUUGUUUUUUAUGGGUCAGACUACAUUCUCUCACAGCUGCUUAUCAGAAUACAAAAGUGAACUCAAACAUUAAAAUAUGACAUUAAAACAAUUUAAAAAAAUGUAAUUGUGGACCAAAAUCAAAACACCGUCAGCCAUGAGAAGAAGAUCAGACCAUACAUCUUCACUGUGAAUACAGAAGAUGCUGAGAGCAACUCUGAGGAGCCAGGCACUGAUCUGCACUUCUAUUUUAUGAAUGUACACGCUAAAAAUCAUGCGGUGUGUACACGAUGCAAGUCUAGAAGCUUUUCACCUGACUCUGGAGCCUGAGGAACUGCUCUCAUCAUGUCCGUCUGGCAUUUACUCAUAAAUAUAACGUCUCUACAGCUGCAUUUACUCAGGAAUGGAAGAUUUAAACAAUAUAAUUCAAUCAAACAACAUAUGUUUUCAUAUUAAGCUUUUCUCUGUUUAGAUAACGCCAAAAGUUUCAGAUCUGUGACAUGAUUGGGCACAAAUUUAAAGGAAUAGUUUUGACGUUUUUUGGAAAUUCGCUUUCGUGCCAAGAGUUGGCUAAAUGAGAAGAUUGAUACGACUCUGCCAGCAGCCGGAAAGGCUGGAAACCGGGUUAAACAGCUAGCCUCCCGUCAACACAAUCUGCCUACCAGCACCUCUAAAGCUCACUUAUUAACUCGUUGUAUCUGGUUUGUUUAAUCCAUACAAAAAUCAGAGUGAAAAAACGACAAUUUGCCGUUUGAUGGGGGGGUUAUGUGCUGGACUCUUUCUCGGCUUGGACCAGUAACUUCCUGGAGUGUACUGGUCCAGGCCAAGAAAUAGUCCAGCACAUCACCCCCCCUUUAAAAUGGCGAAUUAUCGUUUUUGCACUUCUGGUUUUUGCAUGGAUCAAACAAACGAGAUAUACAGUAACAUGUUAAUAAGCGGGAUAAUGUGCAGCUAGCGGGUCAUUGUUGUGAAAGAAACCCGGACAUGGCGAUGCCGCACCCUGACGCAAAGCGAGAGGGUCUGUCAUCGCCCUUAAGGGGUUUCUUU